GGAUGAACGCUGGCGGCGUGCCUAAUACAUGCAAGUCGAGCGAACAGACGAGGAGCUUGCUCCUCUGACGUUAGCGGCGGACGGGUGAGUAACACGUGGAUAACCUACCUAUAAGACUGGGAUAACUUCGGGAAACCGGAGCUAAUACCGGAUAAUAUAUUGAACCGCAUGGUUCAAUAGUGAAGGACGGUUUUGCUGUCACUUAUAGAUGGAUCCGCGCCGCAUUAGCUAGUUGGUAAGGUAACGGCUUACCAAGGCAACGAUGCGUAGCCGACCUGAGAGGGUGAUCGGCCACACUGGAACUGAGACACGGUCCAGACUCCUACGGGAGGCAGCAGUAGGGAAUCUUCCGCAAUGGGCGAAAGCUUGACGGAGCAACGCCGCGUGAGUGAUGAAGGUCUUCGGAUCGUAAAACUCUGUUAUUAGGGAAGAACAAAUGUGUAAGUAACUAUGCACGUCUUGACGGUACCUAAUCAGAAAGCCACGGCUAACUACGUG
rnacentral:rRNA from 1 species